GGAUUAUAAAAGACAGCCUGAUAGGGAUUUGCUUAGCUGUAAGUCAGCACAGGGUAGACCUUUAACCUUAAAGGAUAUGUCAGUAAUACAGGGAAUGUACAAUUAU